rnacentral:rRNA from 1 species
GACGAACGCUGGCGGCGUGCUUAACACAUGCAAGUCGAACGGUAAGGCCCUUCGGGGUACACGAGUGGCGAACGGGUGAGUAACACGUGGGUGAUCUGCCCUGCACUUCGGGAUAAGCCUGGGAAACUGGGUCUAAUACCGGAUAGGACUCCGGACUGCAUGGUCUGGGGUGGAAAGCUUUUGCGGUGUGGGAUGGCCCGCGGCCUAUCAGCUUGUUGGGGGGGUGAUGGCCUACCAAGGCGACGACGGGUAGCCGGCCUGAGAGGGUGACCGGCCACACUGGGACUGAGAUACGGCCCAGACUCAUACGGGAGGCAGCAGUGGGGAAUAUUGCACAAUGGGCGCAAGCCUGAUGCAGCGACGCCGCGUGAGGGAUGACGGCCUUCGGGUUGUAAACCUCUUUCAACAUCGACGAAGCGAAAGUGACGGUAGGUGCAGAAGAAGGACCGGCCAACUACGUGCCAGCAGCCGCGGUAA